ACGAACGCUGGCGGCAUGCCUAACACAUGCAAGUCGAACGAGCCCUUCGGGGUUAGUGGCGCACGGGUGCGUCACGCGUGGGAAUCUGCCCUUGGGUUCGGAAUAACAGUGAGAAAUUACUGCUAAUACCGGAUGAUGUCUUCGGACCAAAGAUUUAUCGCCCAAGGAUGAGCCCGCGUAGGAUUAGCUAGUUGGUGGGGUAAUGGCCUACCAAGGCGACGAUCCUUAGCUGGUCUGAGAGGAUGAUCAGCCACAUUGGGACUGAGACACGGCCCAGACUCCUACGGGAGGCAGCAGUGGGGAAUAUUGGACAAUGGGCGAAAGCCUGAUCCAGCAAUGCCGCGUGAGUGAUGAAGGCCUUAGGGUUGUAAAGCUCUUUUACCCGGGAUGAUAAUGACAGUACCGGGAGAAUAAGCUCCGGCUAACUCCGUG
rnacentral:rRNA from 1 species